rnacentral:rRNA from 1 species
GAGUUUGAUCAUGGCUCAGAACGUACGCUGGCGGCACGCCUAACACAUGCAAGUCGAACGAAGUAGCAAUACUUAGUGGCAGACGGGUGAGUAACAUGUGGGUAUCUACCCUUUGGCCUGGAAUAACACGAGGAAACUUGUGCUAAUACCGGAUAAGUCUUUACGGAGAAAGCUUUAUGCACCAUUGGAUGAGCCCGCACUUGAUUAGUUUGUUGGUAGGGUAAUGGCCUACCAAGACUAUGAUCAAUAGCUGAUUUGAGAGGAUGAUCAGCCACAUUGGGACUGAGACACGGCCCAAACUCCUACGGGAGGCAGCAGUGGGGAAUCUUGCACAAUGGAGGAAACUCUGAUGCAGCGAUGCCGCGUGAGUGAAGAAGGCCUUUGGGUUGUAAAGCUCUUUCGUCGGGGAAGAAAAUGACUGUACCCGAAUAAGAAGGUCCGGCUAACUUCGUGCCAGCAGCCGCGGUAAUACGAAGGGACCUAGCGUAGUUCGGAAUUACUGGGCUUAAAGAGUUCGUAGGUGGUUGAAAAAGUUGGUGGUGAAAUCCCAGAGCUUAACUCUGGAACUGCCAUCAAAACUUUUCAGCUAGAGUAUGAUAGAGGAAAGCAGAAUUUCUAGUGUAGAGGUGAAAUUCGUAGAUAUUAGAAAGAAUACCAACUGCGAAGGCAGCUUUCUGGAUCAUUACUGACACUGAGGAACGAAAGCAUGGGUAGCGAAGAGGAUUAGAUACCCUCGUAGUCCAUGCCGUAAACGAUGUGUGUUAGACGUUGGAAAUUUAUUUUCAGUGUCGCAGGGAAACCGAUAAACACACCGCCUGGGGAGUACGACCGCAAGGUUAAAACUCAAAUGAAUUGACGGGGACCCGCACAAGUAGUGGAGCAUGUGGUUUAAUUCGAAGAUACGCGCAGAACCUUACCAACACUUGACAUGUUCGUCGCGACUCUAAGAGAUUAGAGUUUUCGGUUCGGCCGGACGAAACACAGGUGCUGCAUGGCUGUCGUCAGCUCGUGUCGUGAGAUGUUCGGUUAAGUCCGGCAACGAGCGCAACCCACAUCUUUAGUUGCCAGCAGGUUAAGCUGGGCACUCUAGAGAAACUGCCCGUGAUAAGCGGGAGGAAGGUGUGGAUGACGUCAAGUCCUCAUGGCCCUUACGGGUUGGGCUACACACGUGCUACAAUGGCAGUGACAAUGGGUUAAUCCCCAAAAGCUGUCUCAGUUCGGAUUGGGGUCUGCAACUCGACCCCAUGAAGUCGGAAUCGCUAGUAAUCGCGUAACAGCAUGACGCGGUGAAUACGUUCCCGGGCCUUGUACACACCGCCCGUCACACCAUGGGAGUUGGUUCUACCCGACGACGCUGCGCUAACCCUUCGGGGAGGCAGGCGGCCACGGUAGGAUCAGUGACUGGGGUGAAGUCGUAACAAGGUAACC